rnacentral:rRNA from 1 species
UACGGGGGGGGCAAGCGUUGUUCGGAAUUACUGGGCGUAAAGGGCUCGUAGGUGGCCAACUAAGUCAGACGUGAAAUCCCUCAGCUUAACUGGGGAACUGCGUCUGAUACUGGAUGGCUUGAGAUUGGGAGAGGGAUGCGGAAUUCCAGGUGUAGCGGUGAAAUGCGUAGAUAUCUGGAGGAACACCGGUGGCGAAGGCGGCAUCCUGGACCGGCAUUGACGCUGAGGAGCGAAAGCCAGGGGAGCAAACGGG